UCCGGCAUAGUGUAAUGGUUAACAUACUCCGCUUUCAAUCAGAUCGCAUCUGAAGAUCCGGAGAGCUCCGAGUUCGAUUCUCGGUGUCGGAA
rnacentral:tRNA from 1 species